rnacentral:rRNA from 1 species
CCUACGGGUGGCAGCAGUGAGGAAUAUUGGUCAAUGGACGAGAGUCUGAACCAGCCAAGUAGCGUGAGGGAUGACUGCCCUAUGGGUUGUAAACUUCUUUUAUAUGGGAAUAAAAUGUUCCACGUGUGGGAUUUUGUAUGUACCAUAUGAAUAAGGAUCGGCUAACUCCGUGCCAGCAGCCGCGGUAAUACGGAGGCUCCGAUCGUUAUCCGGAUUUAUUGGGUUUAAAGGGAGCGUAGGUGGAUUGUUAAGUCAGCUGUGAAAUGUUGCGGCUCAACCGUAAAAUGGCGGUUGAAACUGGCAGUCUUGAGUACAGGAGAGGUGGGCGGAAUUCGUGGUGUAGCGGUGAAAUGCUUAGAUAUCACGAAGAACUCCGAUUGCGAAGGCAGUUCACUGGACUGCAACUGACACUGAGGCUCGAAAGUGUGGGUAUCGAACAGGAUUAGAUACCCGUGUAGUC